UGUGUGUGUAUGUGUACGUGUGUGUGUGUGUAGGUAUGUAUGUGUGUGUAUGUGUGUACCUAUGUAUGUACGUACCUACGCAGGUACAUAAAAGAUGGAGACAUUAUUCAGAUAGGGUCUUGGUGGUUAACUAGAGGCCAUGAUUGAGCUAUAAGUUUGUUUUAGUAUCCAGAAUGUGUAGACUCCAAUCUAUUUCCUAACUACACCUGUGACCUAAGUCCUC